rnacentral:misc_RNA from 1 species
GUUUAAGCCUCAGGGGGGCAAUAAUGGGACAGACGUGGAAAAUGGGAGACAUGGAGAAGUUAUAGAAACAGAAAUUUAUCAAAACGAGUCUUAACUGUUUUUGAGUUCGAUUAGCUGAUUUCUCUUUGAUAAAUCCUAGAAAAUUCAAAGCCCAUCUCUAAAAACCUUCGAUCUUGAAAACCCAGAUCUCAAUGUUCCACAAUUUGAUAAAAUUUUUGCCUUUUACUUUGAUCAAUCUCAUAUCCCCUGUUUCUAAGCUUUGUUUUUGUCUGUCUCUAGCAACAGAACACCAUAGUGUUACUUGUUAGCCUCUGAGUUGCUCCUGAGUCAGGCCUUCUCCUUUGCCUUCUUGGAGGUUUCUGUUGUUUUAUCUCAUAAAUUUCUCUUGUGAUGUUUCUUAGUGGUUAGAUUUUCCUAUUUUUGGAUUUUGUUUCCAAUCAAAGUAUAUCUAAGCAAAUCACAAUCCCUCAAUUCCCUCCAAAUUUCUUGGAAUUUCUUCUGAUUCUGUUCUUCUUUUGAAAUUCUACCUACUCAGUCUCCCAAUUCCAUUUCUUUCUUUUUUUACCUUCUUCGGUCAUCAUCUCUGAUUCUUAAUCCCACUUUCUUUGUUCUCUCUGCUCCAAAAACCCUUCAAAUUCUCCGUAAAAUUCCACCAUGAAGAUCGCCAAAGACAGAGUCCGAUUCAACGUCGGAGGCAGAAUCUUCGAGACAACCUCCACGACCUUGGCAAAUGCCGGUAGAAACUCCUUUUUCGGAGCAUUUUUUGACGAUAAUUGGGCUUUAAAACAACCCAUCAAUGACCUCAAUCCCAACAGUGAAUUCUACAUCGAUCGAAACCCGGAUUGUUUCGGUAUCCUCCUCGAUCUUCUCCGCACCGGCGAUCUCCACAUCCCUCCCCACGUCCCGGAAAGACUCCUCCACCGAGAGGCGUCAUUUUACGGCCUCUUGGACCAUGUAAGAUCGGCCAAAUGGGGUCCAUUUGAUGCAAACAGACUUCGGUAUUCCCGGUCUGUCACUGGCCGGGCACCAGGGGAUGGCACGGCAAUUCGUGCAGGACCGGAUGGUGGGUGCUGUGUGGCUCAUGGAAGUAUGGUGCGUGUCUAUGAUUGGAUGAUGGAAGAGCAUCCACCAAUCAAUCUUGAUUACCAGAGAGUGAAUGAUAUUGCUUGGGUUGAUUCUGAGAAUGUGAUUCUCAGUGCCUGUGAGAGAUUAGGCCGCGGAGAUGGAGGAAUGGGGCUGUUCAGUAAGAGUACAGGGGAGCUCAGGUAUAAGUUUCAGGUCUGCCAUGAGAAUCGAGUGAAGAGCUAUACUGCUGGGGCUUUGAGCACUAGCUCUGAUUAUAGAAUUUUUAGUAGCUGUAAAGGGAGAAGCAAUGAGUAUGGAAUUGGAGUAUGGGAUCAAAUUACUGGUAAACAAAUUGAUUUCUUUUAUGAGAGUCCAGGUUGGUCACUAGGUGAUGCUGAUAAAUUGCAGUGGUUAAAUGGGAGAAACUGCUUGUUGGUGGCUACUUUGUUUCCUAGAAAGGACAACUGUUACAUUAGUUUGGUGGAUUUUAGAGAGAAGAGGAUGGUGUGGUUUUGGUCUGAUAUUGGUGCUUCUAUGACUGUGGAUGAGAAAAGGGUUCGUGAUGCUAUUGCUAUGGAGGAUUGUAAUGCUAUUUGUGUGGUGAAUGAGUAUGAGGAGUUAGGGUUUAUGGAUUUGAGAAUGAGUGGAGGAAGCGUGAGAUGGAGUUCGAGGAGUCGAUUGAUGAAGGGAAAGAUGCCUGAUGAGCCUUGUUAUCCAAAACUGGCAUUACAUGAGGGGCUGUUGUUUUCAUCAAUGGAUGAUUGCAUUUCUGUGUUUUGUGGUCCUGACUGGGUAUUGACAUCUAGGUUUCGACAAUUAUAUGGAGGUUCAAUUUGCGAUUUUUCAAUCGGUGGCGAUAGACUCUUUGCACUUCACAGUGAAGAAAAUGUCUUUGAUAUAUGGGAGACUCCACCUCCACCAAUUUUAUGAUUCAGAUUACAAGGUGUGCUGGGUUUUUCAGUUAAUGUUUCUUACAUUCUGAUGUAAAUAGGUAUUUGAAAAGAUUUGCGUGUACAUAUUUUGCCUUUUAACUACUAUAUAAUUUAGAGCAAUGAAUCUGCUUGGGGUUUGCCCAUCUUCAUACAAAUGAGACUGAUUGCAUCAAACUAAUGUAAAGGGAAAUCUUGAAUUUAUAAGCAGAGAAUGCACAUGAUUUUUAAUUGGUAUUGCAGAAA